rnacentral:rRNA from 1 species
GAUGAACGCUGGCGGCGUGCCUAAUACAUGCCAGUCGAGCGAACAGACGAGGAGCUUGCUCCUCCGACGUUAGCGGCGGACGGGUGAGUAACACGUGGAUAACCUACCUAUAAGACUGGGAUAACUUCGGGAAACCGGAGCUAAUACCGGAUAAUAUAUUGAACCGCAUGGUUCAAUAGUGAAAGACGGUUUUGCUGUCACUUAUAGAUGGAUCCGCGCCGCAUUAGCUAGUUGGUAAGGUAACGGCUUACCAAGGCGACGAUGCGUAGCCGACCUGAGAGGGUGAUCGGCCACACUGGAACUGAGACACGGUCCAGACUCCUACGGGAGGCAGCAGUAGGGAAUCUUCCGCAAUGGGCGAAAGCCUGACGGAGCAACGCCGCGUGAGUGAUGAAGGUCUUCGGAUCGUAAAACUCUGUUAUUAGGGAAGAACAAAUGUGUAAGUAACUAUGCACGUCUUGACGGUACCUAAUCAGAAAGCCACGGCUAACUACGUG